rnacentral:rRNA from 1 species
GACGUAGGGCGCGAGCGUUGUCCGGAUUUAUUGGGCGUAAAGGGCUCGUAGGCGGUUUGUCGCGUCGGGAGUGAAAACCAGGUGCUUAACACCUGGCUUGCUUUCGAUACGGGCAGACUAGAGGUAUUCAGGGGAGAACGGAAUUCCUGGUGUAGCGGUGAAAUGCGCAGAUAUCAGGAGGAACACCGGUGGCGAAGGCGGUUCUCUGGGAAUGACCUGACGCUGAGGAGCGAAAGUGUGGGGAGCGAACAGG